AGUGAACGCUGGCGGUAGGCCUAACACAUGCAAGUCGAACGGCAGCACAGUAAGAGCUUGCUCUUACGGGUGGCGAGUGGCGGACGGGUGAGGAAUACAUCGGAAUCUACUUUUUCGUGGGGGAUAACGUAGGGAAACUUACGCUAAUAUCGCAUACGACCUACGGGUGAAAGCAGGGGAUCUUCGGACCUUGCGCGAUUGAAUGAGCCGAUGUCGGAUUAGCUAGUUGGCGGGGUAAAGGCCCACCAAGGCGACGAUCCGUAGCUGGUGUGAGAGGAUGGUCGGCCACACUGGAGGUGAGACACGGUCCAGGCUCCUACGGGAGGGAGCAGUGGGGAAUAUUAGACAAUGGGCGCAAGCCUGAUCCAGCCAUACCGCGUGGGUGAAGAAGGCCUUCGGGUUGUAAAGCCCUUUUGUUGGGAAAGAAAAGCAGCAGGUUAAUACCCCGCUGUUCUGACGGUACCCAAAGAAUAAGCACCGGCUAACUUCGUG
rnacentral:rRNA from 1 species